rnacentral:tRNA from 1 species
UCGAGAUCCCAGGCUUCUUCAUAAGCUCCCACACGAAUUGCUUGAUUCACUGGUUAGACGAUUGGGUCUGUAGCUCAGUUGGUUAGAGCGCACCCCUGAUAAGGGUGAGGUCGGCAGUUCGAAUCUGCCCAGACCCACCAAUUGUUGGUGUGCUGCGUGAUCCGAUACGGGGCCAUAGCUCAGCUGGGAGAGCGCCUGCUUUGCACGCAGGAGGUCAGGAGUUCGAUCCUCCUUGGCUCCACCAUCUAAACAAUCGUCGAAAGCUCAGAAAUGAAUGUUCGUGAAUGAACAUUGAUUUCUGGUCUUUGCACCAGAACUGUUCUUUAAAAAUUCGGGUAUGUGAUAGAAGUAAGACUGAAUGAUCUCUUUCACUGGUGAUCAUUCAAGUCAAGGUAAAAUUUGCGAGUUCAAGCGCGAAUUUUCGGCGAAUGUCGUCUUCACAGUAUAACCAGAUUGCUUGGGG